UACGGGGGGCGCAAGCGUUGUUCGGAUUUACUGGGCGUAAAGGGCGCGUAGGCGGCCACCGCAAGUCGACUGUGAAAUCUCCGGGCUUAACCCGGAAAGGUCAGCCGAUACUGCGGGGCUAGAGUGCAGAAGGGGCAACUGGAAUUCUCGGUGUAGCGGUGAAAUGCGUAGAUAUCGAGAGGAACACCUGCGGCGAAGGCGGGUUGCUGGGCUGACACUGACGCUGAUGCGCGAAAGCUAGGGGAGCGAACGGG
rnacentral:rRNA from 1 species